GAACUGCAGGACACAUGAACACCGACACGCUUGAACGCAUAUUGCACACCGUACUACAGUACGAUGUACACAUUUUUGAGU
rnacentral:rRNA from 1 species